UACGUAGGGUGCGAGCGUUGUCCGGAAUUACUGGGCGUAAAGAGCUCGUAGGCGGUUUGUCGCGUCGUCCGUGAAAACUUGGGGCUCAACCCCAAGCUUGCGGGCGAUACGGGCAGACUUGAGUACUGCAGGGGAGGACUGGAAUUCCUGGUGUAGCGGUGAAAUGCGCAGAUAUCAGGAGGAACACCGGUGGCGAAGGCGACACUCUGGGCCGGUACUGACGCUGAGGAGCGAAAGCGUGGGGAGCAAACAGG
rnacentral:rRNA from 1 species